rnacentral:rRNA from 1 species
AUUGAACGCUGGCGGCAUGCCUUACACAUGCAAGUCGAACGGCAGCAUGGAGAGCUUGCUCUCUGAUGGCGAGUGGCGAACGGGUGAGUAAUGCAUCGGAACGUACCGUGUAAUGGGGGAUAACGUAGCGAAAGUUACGCUAAUACCGCAUACGACCUGAGGGCGAAAGCAGGGGAUCGAAAGACCUUGCGUUAUACGAGCGGCCGAUGUCAGAUUAGCUAGUUGGUGAGGUAAAGGCUCACCAAGGCGACGAUCUGUAGCGGGUCUGAGAGGAUGAUCCGCCACACUGGGACUGAGACACGGCCCAGACUCCUACGGGAGGCAGCAGUGGGGAAUUUUGGACAAUGGGGGCAACCCUGAUCCAGCCAUGCCGCGUGAGUGAAGAAGGCCUUCGGGUUGUAAAGCUCUUUCGGCCGGGAAGAAAUCGCACAGGCUAAUACUCUGUGUGGAUGACGGUACCGGCAUAAGAAGCACCGGCUAACUACGUGCCAGCAGCCGCAGUAA